rnacentral:lncRNA from 1 species
UUGUUUUUUUUUUUUUUGCUUGAGGAAGAUUAACCCUGAACUAACAUCUGUGCCAAUCUUCCUCUGUUUUUGAUAUGUGGGGUGCUGCCACAGCAUGGCAGAUGAGUGGUAUAGGCCCGGGCCCUGGAUCUGAAACCAGGAACCUGGGCUCCUGAGCAGAUUGUGCCAAACCCAACUACUAUGCCACGCACUGGCCCCCAAGAGCUUGUUUUUUGUUUUUGUUUUGUUUUUAGAUUCCACAUAGAAGAGAGAUCACAUGGUAUUUGUUUUUCUCUGUCUGACUUAUUUCACUUACCUAAUGCCCUCAAGGUCUAUCCAUGUUGUUGCAAAUGGCAAGAUUUCAUUCUUUUUUAUAGCUAGUAUUCCAUUGUGUGUAUCUAUAUAUACAUCGCAUUUUCCUUAUACAUUAGAUACAUUCAUAUUUCCUUAUCUUGGCUUUUAUAAUAAUGCUACAAUGAACAUGAGGGUACAUAUAUCUUUUUGAGUUAGUGUUUUUGUUUUCUUCAGAUUAAUACCCAGAAGUGGAAUUUCUGGAGAUUUAUUAAUCUUCAUUUUAAUAAUUUAAAGAAUUUAUUAGCAAUUUAAAUUUAAUUUUAAUAAAAAAUUACCUUAAGACUUACUUUAAAAACCAGAGUAAAAAAAGAAAAGAUUACAAAAGAAAAUAGUGAGAAGGAUCAUGCAUUUGGAAUUAGAGAGACUUUGGACUAAAUUUCAGAUUCAGCUUUUACUAGCUCAGCGAACUGGGGCAAGUUGGCCAAAUGGCAAGAGAGCCUAUUUCCUGAUCUGUAAAAUGACAAGAGAGAUGUACCCACCUUCUAGAGGAAUGAGGAUAAAAUGAGAUAACACAUGUGAAAUUAUGCAAUUAAUUUCCAGGCCAGUCACGUGUAAGUACCAUCCCAUAAGGGAUUUCAUAUUGGACCUCAGCUUCACUAAAAAUGUAUUUCUCUACUAAAUUGUGUAUUAUUCUAUGUCAUGCAUAUUUGGAAGUUGCUCCUGCACCAUUAAUGAUAAAUUCACAGGUGCCAGAGGGUUUGAUCUCAUUUGCUGAACAAUUAACUUAAAGCCUGAAAACAAGAAACUACUACCAGGAUACUGAUUUUACAAUUCAAAUUAGAUUUGUAUUCUUUUAGUGAAACCCAUGGCCAGAUGUGGGUAGAAAAAUGAUCUCUGCCUUCAUUCUGUCCAUAUUAUUGCCUUCUUGUCUGGUUCCAUUGCUGUUUACUGAUCUACCUUUCUAUCUUACAUUGGUCUAAAUUCCAUGUCAGCCUGUCAGCAAGGGGAUUUUCUUGUGUCAAAACGAAAGUGGUAGUUGCAGAGUUACCAGGGUUUUUUGGUCUGCAAUUACUGAAAUAAACACAUUAAGUGCCGCUCUACCCAUGGUAUUAACUAUGGGCAUGCUUAAUGUACUAAUAUGAAAGUCAGUUCAAUUGAUAACAUUUAUGGUUUUCUCUACUCCAGUGAGUUGCUUGCAGCUGCCACUUUCCUGAUGGUAUAUUCCCUGUUCUGAGUCAGGGUAAUGUAAAUAGGAAGAAAGAAAAUUGGCACAAUUUGAAACAUUGACUGAAGGAGAUUUUUAUAACAUAAUUGCACAUUAUGGAAAAAGUGAAGUAUUCAACCUAAAUCUUUAAUCAAUAAUUGAAGGCCUGUCUGUCAAAAGCCUGUGGAAAAAUCUCCCUUGCAAGUUUACACAGACAGAAGAAUUUAUCUUUUUUUUCAUUUUAUGUGUCAGAAUCAAAGAAUUUAUAGAAGACGGGAGCAUGGAUCGCUGGGCUCGUGGGCCUGCCCCCAUGUCCUAGUAAUGCUGGUUGUGUUGCUCAAUCUCUUUGUGUCACUGUCCUCAUAUGUAAAAAGGCAUAAAAAUACUAUCACGGGGCCGACCCUGUGGCCAAGUGGUUAAGAUCGCGUGCUCCACUUCGGCGGCCCAGGGUUUGGAUCCUGGGCGCGGACAUGGCACUGCUCAUUAGGCCAUGUUGAGGCGGCGUCCCACGUGCCACAACUAGAAGAACCCACAGCUAAAAUAUACAACUAUGUACUGGGGAGAUUUGGGGAAAAAAAAAGGGAAAAAAAUACUAUCACAUACAGUUGCUGUGAGGAGCAUAUUCUUCUCAGAUCCUCUUUAUCCCCAAACCUAAAAGAACUUUUAGGUGAUUUCUAUCUGUUGAUGAGAGGAAGAUGAGUUUUGAAGUUUGAGCUGGUAGAUGGAGCCAAAAUUUGCUGACUGUUUGUUCUGCUGAGUUACUUGAGUGACAGACUGAGGUUUUUGGAUUAUAUAUCACGGGUGUUAUUGACCAAGAAAGCUAGUUACUUGGCAUCCUAUCGAAGCAGUACUUUAAAUAUUUGUUUAGCAUUUAUGUAGUGGGAGCUGGGACAAACUGUCUUUGUGUUAAUAAAAAUUAUGUGAA